UGAUCGCUGUGACGCGGGCGGUUCGCCGCCCGUGACUCUGCGAGAAGUCCAUUGAACCUUAUCAUUUAGAGGAAGGAGAAGUCGUAACAAGGUUUCCGUAGGUGAACCUGCGGAAGGAUCAUUGUCGAGACUAAAAUAUAUCGAACGAUUUGGAGAACAAGUCAAUAUAAGCAGUGGAUAUUUUAUCUGCGAAAGAAGCCGUCCUACUCAUAACCUCACAUCCCCUCGAGGGCGAGGUCAUGAAUAAUGAUGGUUGAACACACAAACCGGCGCAACACCGCGCCAAGGGAUAUAUCGAAGCACAAGCCCAUAAAUGGGUUUGGUGGCAUGGUGUGCCGUUGCGCCCCAUAAGGAUUGACAUGACUCUCGACAAUGGAUAUCUCGGCUCUUGCAUCGAUGAAGAGCGCAGCGAAAUGCGAUACGUGGUGCGAAUUGCAGAAUCCCGCGAACCAUCGAGUUUUUGAACGCAAGUUGCGCCCGAGGCCAACCGGCCAAGGGCACGUCCGCCUGGGCGUCAAGCAUUACGUCACUCCGAGUCAAUUUCAUCCCUACGAUGGUUGGGCUGGCAGAGGCUUGGAUGUGUAGAUUGGCUCAUCGUGCCACUCGGUGCGGUGGGCUGAAGAGCGGAUCAUCAGCUCGUUGGCUGCGAACAAUAAGGGGUGGAUUAAAGCGAGGCCUGUGUUAUUGUGUCGCGUAUGCCCGAGAGAAGAUUAAGCUUGGUCAGGUGAUCCCAAAUCAUGCGUCGAUCCCUGGAUGACGUUUGGAAUGCGACCCCAGGAUGGGCGGGGCCACCCGCCGAGUUUAAGCAUAUCAAUAAGCGGAGGAGAAGAAACUUACGAGGAUUCCCCGUUUAAGCAUAUCAAUAAGCGGAGGAGAAGAAACUUACGAGGAUUCCCC
rnacentral:rRNA from 1 species